CCCACAAACUUUGCUUCUGUGAUCAGGACAGUGAUAUUUUGAAAUUUACCUAUUUCCCAGAACAUUCCAGAUAGAUUCAGUGCUGAGUAAACUUGGAGUAACUUCUAGAACAUUCUAGAACUUUCCAGUAAUAUAAAUAGUAGCAUAAAUACAAGGGCCUUCAGCCCACCAGUUCAGUUUAGUUCCAGCUGCCUAAGUGGAUACAUAUCUGCAUUUUUCUGAGAUGGCAUCAAGAGGCUGCAAGCAUCCGGCAGACACAUUUUGCUAUGUCUGCGGCCAAUUUAUCAAGACAAGAGCGAAAAAGUACUCUGUGGAAGCAUCUGCUAAGAUGUGUGAGGCCUACAAGGCAUAUUUCGGCAUGCCUGUUGGGGAUCAAGACAAACCCUGGGCACCUCAUUUCACCUGCGAGCAAUGCAAAAAAAACUCUGGAAGGUAAGAUGGACAAUUGUUGCUCGGAAUUUUAUGUUAUAAACUUUGUUUUAAAAAAAUUGUAAAAGUUUUUUUUUCAUUUUAAAUGUUUUACAAUUGUCAAUGUUAUUGAAAAGAUAUAUCAUAGAUGAAAAAUAUUGCAAUAAUCUCUUACACAUUAGUCAUGGGGGAAAUAAAUGUAAUUUUGUAGGAUGGUACAGAGGGGAAAAGAGAGCCAUGAAGUUGGUUAUCCCAAGAAUUUGGCGGGAACCCACUGACCACUCAAGCAACUGCUACUUCUGCAUGGUGGACCUUUCCAAACGUCGGACUGGCAAUAAUACACCUGCUAUCACGUAUCCGGACCUUCUUUCAUCUAUCGCCCCGGUGCCACACUGCCAUGAGCUCCCCGUACACACUCCUCUGGAGAGAGAGCAGCCGUCUUUAGAGACAGCAAGUCAGAGAGCGAGGAAGACGUUGUAGAUCCAGAUGACAAUUUCAGAGGUGGAGCUGAGGAGAGAAACCCAUACGACCCCAACCAAAAGAACCUCAACGACUUUAUCAGAGAUCUUGAUCUCACCAAGUCCAAUUCUGAGCUUUUGACGUCUAGGCUCAAGCAGUGGAACUUGUUUGAUAAAAGUAUGCAAGUCGCAGAUCAGAGGAAAGCGUCACCAACCUUUUUGCAGCUUAUUCACCCGUCAAGAUGGGCUCUGCUUCUGCCAGAAUGUGACCAGUCUGUUCGAGGAAAUCGGAAUCGCCUGUAACCAAAAUGAGUGGCGCCUCUUCGUUGACAGCUCAUCCAGGAGUCUCAAAGCCAUGCUGCUCCAUAAUGAUUAUAGGGCGCGAAUACGGGGAUCACGCGGACAUAAUCACAGCUCCGCGGACAGCUGUUCGAGGCAACAGGCGGACGUCGCCUUUGAAGUGAAAGACUCCAGGUGAUGAUGGCUGAUGACAAACGGGCACGGUGACGGCUGUUGCGAGCUGAGGGCGGGAACCGAACGAAUGCAAAAAGGCAGCGGUGGUGGAGGCGGUGGGGAAUUGGGUCCCCAGGGCUGGGGGCCAUGCAGCGAGUUUGUCUCGUGAGUCAACAUUCGGCGAGGAGCAGCAUCAGGUUGCCCCGACCGGGGACAUCUCCACCCGCUCACGUGGAAGAGCGAAAACGUGCGUGGGUGGGUGGGUGCGUGGGUGGACAGGCGAGUAGGAGGUGAGAACUCAAGAGACCAGAAUGAGUCUCAUUUGCAAGAGUGACCUGGGUCAUCAAAAUGACAAAAGAAAAACAAAUAACAGCACAAGCAAUGAAGGAAAUGCGAAUGCAUCGGGCAGCACGUACUGUAGGUCGCGAGUUAUCGCCCUCUACGGCAGUCUGCUGUUCUCAAAUCAUCUCGCUGGGCUGUGCGAUCGGCCCCACGAUCAGUCCGGCGUGAUCAUUCUAACGUUGAUCCUUGUUGAGUGCACUACUUUGCGUGCUACUGUUGAACUAAUGUUGACUCGCAUUGUGUUUCUGUGCCGUUUUCUGUGGUUCCUGGAUUUAUUUCCAACCCCCAUGUAUGCUUUGGUACAUAACCUUUCUCGAGAGUUAUGCGUAUGCUCUCUCACAGCAGGUUUCCACUUUUCCACCUAUUGCUUUACUUAUGGCUGUCUCUCAAUAACCUUGGUUUAUCCGGUAAAUGACCAUUAAAAUCCUA